rnacentral:rRNA from 1 species
CAGCCGCCACGGUAAUACGUAGGUGGCAAGCGUUGUCCGGAAUUAUUGGGCGUAAAGGGCUCGCAGGCGGUUUCUUAAGUCUGAUGUGAAAGCCCCCGGCUCAACCGGGGAGGGUCAUUGGAAACUGGGAAACUUGAGUGCAGAAGAGGAGAGUGGAAUUCCACGUGUAGCGGUGAAAUGCGUAAAGAUGUGGAGGAACACCAGUGGCGAAGGCGACUCUCUGGUCUGUAACUGACGCUGAGGAGCGAAAGCGUUGGGAGCGAACAGGAUUAGAUACCCCAGUAGUCCCUGUCUCUUAUAC